AGGACGAACGCUGGCGGUGUGCUUCACACAUGCAAGUCGAACGAGGUAGCAAUACCUAGUGGCGGACGGGUGAGUAACGCGUGGGAAUCUGCCUUUAGAUGGGGGAUAACGGGUCGAAAGACUCGCUAAUACCGCAUAUGACGAAAGUUGAAAGGAGUAAUCCGUCUAAAGAUGAGCCCGCGUCCGAUUAGCUAGUUGGUAGAGUAAAAAGCCUACCAAGGCGACGAUCGGUAGCUGGUCUGAGAGGAUGAUCAGCCACAAUGGGACUGAGACACGGCCCAUACUCCUACGGGAGGCAGCAGUGGGAAUUUUACGCAAUGGGCGAAAGCCUGACGUAGCGACACCGCGUGAGCGAAGAAGCCCCUUGGGGUGUAAAGCUCUGUCAGCUGGAACGAAAAAAUGACGGUACCAGCAGAGGAAGCAUCGGCUAACUACGUG
rnacentral:rRNA from 1 species